rnacentral:rRNA from 1 species
UACGAAGGGGGCUAGCGUUGCUCGGAAUCACUGGGCGUAAAGGGUGCGUAGGCGGGUCUUUAAGUCAGGGGUGAAAUCCUGGAGCUCAACUCCAGAACUGCCUUUGAUACUGAGGAUCUUGAGUUCGGGAGAGGUGAGUGGAACUGCGAGUGUAGAGGUGAAAUGCGUAGAUAUUGGGAGGAACACCAGUGGCGAAGGCGGCUACCUGGACCGGUUCUGACGCUGAGGCGCGAAAGCGUGGGUAGCAAACAGG